rnacentral:rRNA from 1 species
UNGUCUGUGAAAUUCCGGGGCUUAACUUCGGGGUGGCAGGCGAUACGGGCAUAACUAGAGUGCUGUAGGGGAGACUGGAAUUCNUGGUGUAGCGGUGGAAUGCGCAGAUAUCAGGAGGAACACCGAUGGCGAAGGCAGGUCUCUGGGCAGUAACUGACGCUGAGGAGCGAAAGCAUGGGGAGCGAACAGGAUUAGAUACCCUGGUAGUCCAUGCUGUAAACGGUGGGCGUUAGGUGUGGGGACCGGUUUGGUUUCUGUGCCGUAGCUAACGCAUUAAGCGCCCCGCCUGGGGAGUACGGCCGCAAGGCUAAAACCCAAAGGAAUUGACGGGGGCCCGCACAAGCGGCGGAGCAUGUGGAUUAAUUCGAUGCAACGCGAAGAACCUUACCUGGGUUUGACAUGCACCAGACGGUUGUAGAGAUACGUACCUCCCUUUGUGGUUGGUGUGCAGGUGGUGCAUGGUUGUCGUCAGCUCGUGUCGUGAGAUGUUGGGUUAAGUCCCGCAACGAGCGCAACCCUUGUCUUAUGUUGCCAGCACUUUGGGUGGGGACUCAUGAGAGACUGCCGGGGUUAACUCGGAGGAAGGUGGGGAUGACGUCAAAUCAUCAUGCCCUUUAUGCCCAGGGCUUCACACAUGCUACAAUGGUUAGUACAACGCGCUGCGAGCCUGUGAGGGUGAGCGAAUCGCUGAAAGCUAAUCUCAGUUCGGAUUGGGGUCUGCAACUCGACCCCAUGAAGUCGGAGUCGCUAGUAAUCGCAGAUCAGCAAUGCUGCGGUGAAUACGUUCCCGGGCCUUGUACAC